CGGCGCCGCGGGAAACCCAGCCUCCUGCGGCGCCCACGCCGCCCCGCAGCGGGGAACAAACGCCUUCCAAUCGAAAGACCGUCUCCCGGGUACCCCUAAAGUAAUUGCAAUAAAAGCAAGGAGAAAAAGCGAGAUGGAAGAAUUGUUUUAAAACAAGUAACCCACCAGUGGAUGAGAAGACACUACAACUUCAGUUAAUUCUAGCAACCAAAUAUAAGGAAAGCGGAGUGUCGGCAAAUCAGCUCCAGACAUCCUAGGCCUUCUGAUAAACAAAUAGCAUUUUUGACGAGCAGCAUUUGCCCAGUUUUUCUCCAAAUACUCCUCUUAAAAGUGGAAAAUGGCACGGAAAUGGGUUGGCAUUGAUGACUAACUGUUGUUGGCAGACAUCACCUCUCACAGCUUUUCGCCUUGUCAAAGGAUGCCUCGAUUCCGAGGGAGUUCUGUAAGAGCAAAGCAAACGACCUAUAGGCAUAAAUCAGUGAGUUUGCUGCACGAGAGGACCUUCAUCUGGGACGUCAGACACCCCUGUCGACUUCCAGUUUCUGGAGGUGGCAUUUCUUGAGGCCCUCCCUCGUGGACUGAGUUGCAGCUGGCCCCCUGUGCACAUGAGCACAGACUUCUCAGUGAUAGCACCCAGAAGUGCAGGGACUGGGGUACAGAGGAUGCAUAUUUUCGUAUCCACUCACUGGUGCAAAAUUAUUCUCCUAAUGGGAUUUUCAGAUGGACGCUAUCGCUAAUAAGGUAUGAACUCUACUUCCCUGUGGGCGGCAUCAAACAUUAAUUUGGACCAUUCUGAUGAAUGUUCGUUGUUCUAUCAGGAGUCAUGUGACAAGGAUUUAUUUUUGUUCGCUUCAGUUUGUUUACUUGAAAUAUAUUCCACAAUUAUGUGCUCCAAAUGGAUGGUCUGUUUUCCGAGUUUGCCUGAUUUGUGAAUCCCCGCUUAUUUUUUCAGAGUGAUAAGUAAAUAUUCCCAAACAAUGUAAGAAACAGUGAUGGCUUCCCCACAUUGUUGCCUUGCACGUCAGACACUGUUUUAAAGAUGGUCAAGGAAAAUGAAUAUACAAUUAUUUGUUUGAAUGUUCUUAUCCCUAUGCUUUCAAUAUUCGUACUGCUACUAUCAGCGUAUAUCUACAUGAGCACUUGACAAUUUUAAAGAAUUCUAACAUGCGUUUCAACGAGAAUUUAAAACUCAGAGUGUAUCAACCUUAAUGUUAGCAUGAAUAAAAGUGGGAACGUGUUCUUUUGUGUGCCAAUGAGUCACUUCCAGUUUUUUAGCUACCUAUUAUGUUUCAUCGGAAAUGUUUGCAUAUUUAUAUCAACUUUCUGUUUACCCCUUAGAUUAUUCAUGCCUGAGUGGAGUGUCAGCUGCAGAAAUAGGAGGUUUAAUGAGUUUCAAGGGGAUACCUCAUUCCAAGAACAAAAACUGGGAAAGAAAUAAAACACAAGUGCCUGCAUACUAAUGUGGCCCCUCGUUAGAACCAGUCUCAGAGCACAAGAUGAUAGAUGGUCCCUGCACGACAUACAUCUCUUUUCGGGAGGCUUUUACUUCCAAUUCGACUUUGUAUAAAUUAAUCUCCUACAGACACCACACUAAUUCUAAAUAUAUAAGCGACACAUACCCAGAGGUCAAGGUUACUGUGACUCUACCCCGAAGACUGUAUUUCUCUGCAUCUGCACAGGUUUUAUUUUUACAGACUACUGCUUUGUUUUG